rnacentral:lncRNA from 1 species
CCCUUCGACGAAGAGGUACCUGAAACCAAACCAAAAACUAUAAGCACAAAGUUCAGCGAGUUCCCCCUUCAUACCGCAUACCAUAUAAUAUCGUCGGUAUCUUUCAACCGGUAACUGCCAUUGAUAUCUUUCAACCGGUAACUAUCAUCGGUAUCUUUCGACCGGUAACCAUCAUCGGUAUCUUUCAACCGGUAACUUCCAUCGGUAUCUUUCAACUAGUAGCUGGGGACUAUUUCACCCCUACCACUAGCAUACAGUAGCAAGAUAUAAACAUACAGUCAGGCAUAUCGGGGUAGUAACCUACCCCUUGGUCCUAACGACCUAUGCCAGGGAAAGACUCCCUAUCACUACCACUGACACAGUUAUCAUAUUACGUAGGCAUAUCUCAUGACCAAAUCACAUAACCAAACCAAAAUAAUUAUCACAAAGAGAUUUGUCUAUUAAAUACCCCUGUUGGUGGGUCGACAUUGUGGCCUUAGACCCAUCCCUACUAGAAGGUAACUCACCUCGAUGUCGUAUAGUGUCUGGGCCGUCUGCUGCGAGAAGAUCGACUCUCCUCGACUCCUCAAUCACUACACGAUAAUUCUCAAGUCAUCAAACAGAACAUGCAACCCUAACCAAGGUCAAUACCUUAACUAGUCAAAGUCAACAUCCAGUUGACCUGACUCGCCGAGUUGGCCCGCCAACUCGCCGAGUCCAUACUCCACUAAUCCGAAUACAACCUCGACACCACUCGUUGAUUCUAGCGAGAACUCGCCAAGUUUUCGUUCAUUCAAACCAUCGAUACCAUCUCCAUCCGACUCACCGAGUUCUUCCUUCAACUCGGCAAGUUCAUAUCCCUCAUAAGAACGUGUCCAGUCUAUGACUCGCCGAGUUGUAGAACAACUCAUCGAGUCCAUCUUCAAAGGUUGAGAGAUUGCCUUGGACUCGUCGAGUCUGUUCAUACACUCGUCGAGUCCCAUGAUUCCCAAGUCCCUUUACAAGUCCAAGAAUUCACGAGACUUCCUUCCCAAUCCACUGGUCCAAUCGCAGAAAGGAUUUAGUGGUCAUUACACACCGACUCGCCGAGUUCCAAGAACAACUCGUCAAGUCCCUUCUUGACCCUUACUAUACAGUCGAUUUAAAUGGGUCUUAACACGUCAAAAUCAUAGAUCUGGCCUUUAUGCCAUAAGUCUCUAAUGGCCAUAUAGUUGGCACCUUUAUGCCUUGAUACCCCUCCAAUGACUCAGAUUUGAAAGUAGAACCCCAUGAAUCACUUCACAAACCCGGAAAUGGCUUAGAAAGCCCUAAAUGCACCCAAAAUCUAAGCCCUAAAGAUGAACAACCAAAUGGAAGUCCAAAACAGGGGGCAUUUACCUUGGUUGAGCUGAAGAUGGAAUAAGAUCUAUGGAUCUACAAGCCCCAACUCGAAUUCCCAAGCUUCUCCCUUCCUUUCAAGCUUCACAACCACCCAAAAGCACCAAAAAUGGCCUUAGAUCACUCAAAUCGGCUAGGGUUUCGAUAAGCGGUGUUCUGGGAGCAUAAGGAACAAAUGAGGUUGCAAUAAGGCGUUUAAAUAGGGUGCAAACCCUCAAAUUUAGGGUUUCACUCAAACAACACCUACUCACCGAGUCAGUCUUCGACUCGUCGAGUAGGUCACUUAAACUUCCCUUGGAACCCGUCUCUACUCGACGAGUUGGGCCACCAACUUGUCGAGUCCUAGAGAAAAAUACAUAAAAUUCCUGAAUUAAAGACAUACCAGUAAUCGGUGUUACAAAUCUCCCCCACUUGUCUUAGACUUCGUCCUCGAAGUCUGCUGUACGAUCCUGAAAAGUUCGGGGUAAUGUUCCUUCAUCUCGUCCUCCGACUUCCAGGUCCAUUCUGAGCCAUUUCGGUGCUGCCACUGCACCUAUACCAACUCCACUCUCUUGUUCCUCAGAUCCCUUGACUUCUUGUCAAGGAUUGCCACUGGUCGCUCAAUGUAGUUCAGGCUGUCAUCAACCUGAAUAUCCUCCAGAGGCACCACCGCCGAAUCGUCUACCAGGCAUUUCGGCAACUGGGAGACAUGAAAUGUGCUAUGAAUCUGACUGAGUUCGGCUGGCAGAUCCAGCCUAUACGUCACUUGGCCCACCUGGGCUACAACCCUAAAGGGUCCAAUAUACCUGGGGCCCAACUUGCCCCGCUUCCUGAAUCGAAUGACGCCCUUCCAUGGUGACACCUUCAGGAGCACCAUAUCCCCGACCUAAAAUUCCAGGUCUGACCGACGCUUGUUGACAUAACUCUUCUGCCGACUUUGAGCAGUCUAAAGUCUGCUCUGAACCUGCGGGAUCCUCUUCGUAGUCUUGAGUAGCACUUCGGUACUCCUCAUGACACUCUGCCCCACUUCUCCCCAGCAUAUCGGGGUCCUGCACUUCCUCCCAUACAACAUCUCGAAAGGAGGAUAGUCGAUACUCGCAUGAUAGCUAUUGUUGUAGGAGAACUCCGCCAAUGGGAGGUAAGUAUCCCAGCUACCUCUGAAGUCUAAAACACACGCCCACAGCAUAUCCUCCAGAGUCUAGAUGGUCCGCUCGCUCUGACCAUCCGUCUGCAGGUGGAAGGUGGUGCUAAAAUUCAAUCAAGUACCCAGCUCGUCAUGAAACUUCUUCCAAAACCGGGAAGUGAACCGCACGUCCCUUUCGGAAAUCACCAAAACUGGCACCCCAUGCCGCACCACUACCUCCCGGAUGUAGAUGUCGGCCAACUUUUCGGCCGAAAUACUCUCCUAAAUCGGGAUAAAAUGUGCGCUCUUGCUCAAUCAAUCAACGAUGACCCAAAUCGAAUCCACCCCUCGCGCUGUCCUGGGAAGCUUCGUAAUAAAGUCCAUAGUAAUAUCCUCCCACUUCCAUAGCGGGGUAUCCAACGACUCGAUCUUGCCGUGAGGUCUCUGGUGCUCAGCCUUGACCUUGCUACAGGUCAGGCACCUCUCCACAAACCAAGUUAUGUCCUUCUUCAUACAGGACCACCAAUAAUCGAGACGAAGAUCCUUAUACAUCUUCAUCGCCCCGGGAUGGAUGGAGAACCUGGAUUUUUGCACCUCUGCCAUCUGUACUUGGCGCACACCCCCAUGAUACGGGACCCACACCCUACGGUGAAGAGUCAUUAACCCCCGGCUAUCAUAGUCGAAGGAGGAAACCUGGCCCACAAUUCGCUCACUCUUCCGGUGUUCCUCCUUUAUGGCCUCCUUCUGGGUCUCCCGAAUCUGCUCCAAUAGCGGAGUCACAACUAUCAUCCUUAGACAAAUGUCCCUGAUCGGCGCUGCCUUGCGGCUAAGCACAUCGGCCAUGACAUUGGCCUUCCCCGGGUGGAAGAGGAUCUCGUAAUCAUAAUCCUUUACCACAUCAAGCCACCGAUGCUGCCUCAUAUUCAGAUUUGGCUGGUCCAUGAGAUACCUUAGGCUCUUGUGGUCCAUGUAAAUGGUACAAUGAACCCCCUAGAGGUAACGACGUCAAAUCUUGAGGGAAAAAACAACAACCCUUAGCUCCAAAUCAUACGUCAGGUAAUUCGCCUCGUGAGACUUCAGGUGCCUCAAAGCAUAAGCUAUAACAUGCCCUCUCUGCAUCAAUACCGCACCCAAACCUGAUAUGGACGCAUCGCAGUAUGCCACAAAGUCCUCCAUGCCCUCUGGCAGGGCUAAGAUUGGUGCCUCGCACAAUCUCUGUUUCAAUGUCUCAAAUGCGGCCUGCUGCUCAGGCCCCCAGCGAAAGACCGCGACUUUCGUCGUCAACCGGGCUAGGGGCACGGAUACCUCGGAGAAGUCCUGAAUAAACCUCUGAUAGUAGCCUGUCAGUCCCAGGAAACUUCGAAUCUCAUAUGGAGACCUCGGAACCUCCCACCUCAUCACGACCUCCACCUUGGCCGGGUCAACCGAAAUCCCGUUCUGGUUGACAAGGUACCCAAGAAACUGCACCUCGCGCAACCAGAACUCACACUUGGAGAACUUAGCAUACAAGUUCUCCCUCCUCAAUGUACCGAUAACCUACCACAAGUGCUCCUCAUGCCGCUCUCGUGUCUUGGAAUAAACCAAGAUGUCAUCGAUAAAAACUAUCACAGACCGAUCCAACAUCGGUCUGCACACGCGGUUCAUGAGAUCCAUCAAUGCGGCAUGAGCAUUGGUGAGCCCGAAAGGCAUCACCAUGAACUCAUAGUGGCCAUAGCGCGUCCGGAACGCAGUCUUCUGCACAUCCUCCUCUCUGACCCUCAUCUGAUGAUAUCCUGAACGCAGAUCAAUCUUAGAGAACGGAGAUGCUCCCUGUAGCUGGUCAAAGAGGUCAUCAAUCCUCGGGAGUGGGUAACGGUUCUUCACCGUUACCUUAUUCAACUCCCGAUAGUAUAUACACAUCUGAUGCGACCUGUCCUUCUUCUUCACAAACAGAAUCAGGGCUCCCCAGGGCGAACUGCUCGGUCUGAUGAAUCAUUUGUCUAACAGUUCCUGCAGCUGCGUAGACAACUCCUGCAUCUCAGGAGCAGCCAACCGAUACGGUGCCUUGGCUAUCGAAGCCGCACUGGGGACUAGGUCGAUCCUGAACUCUACCUGCCUCUCCAGAGGUAUCCCAGGCAACUCCUCAGGGAAUACAUCCGCAAACUCUCGUACCACGAGCAUAUCGCCCACCGUCGCCUUACCCGCUUCUCGAAUAUCCAUAAUAUAGGCGACAAAUCCCACACAACCCUGCUGAAGGUAGCGCCUAGAUCUCGCUGCUGAACAUAGAGCUGGUUCUCGCGGUGGCCUCUCGCCUUGAGUCACCAGCUCUCCCCCACUUGGGGUCUUGAUUUGCACUAACUGCUGUGCGUAGUCAAUCACUGUCUCAUUGGGUCUAAGCCAAUCUAUAACAAUAAUAACCUUGUUCCCCCGCAAUGGUAUGGGAACCAGAUCUACCAAGUAACGCUCCUCGAACAGCCUCAAAACACAAUCUCGGUAGACCUCUGAUGCCCGCACUGACCAAUCGUCCACACUCUCGACCUCCAAAAGGCAAUCCAGCAUGCCCGAAGACUCAGGAAACUUCUUGCUAAGCGCAAGAGAGACAAACGAUAGGGUAGCACCCAAAUCAAGCAAUACCUGAACUGGGAUACCGUUCAAAUGGAACGAUCCUACACCGAGCAUACAUGUAUCAAAAUCACAACGUCAUAACAUAAAAAGUAAAGAUAAGAAAUCAUACCCGUCACCACAUCGGGUGCAGCGCAUGUCUCCUCAGCUGUCAACUGAAAUGCUUGGCUCUGCACCACUGGAGCCUCUACCCUGGGCUUCUGGCCAUCCAUCACCCAUGCCGUCGUUGGGGUCGGUGCCGCCGCUGGCACUACUGUGGUCGCUGCUGUCAAUUUAGGGAAAUUGGCCUUUUUAUGGCCCCUCUGAUUACAAUGAAAGCAAAUCAGGUCUGAGAUCUGAACCGUGGGAGCAAGGGCAGUACGAUCCAUGCCAAAAUGUCCAAUUUGGCCGCACUUAUAGCAGCCGGAUCCCGACCCAGUGCGGCAAACUCCCUCAUGUGACCGACCGUACUUCCCACAGCGGUCCUGCCCCUGCUGUCUUUUCGACCUCGCAUCAAAUCCCUUGGGUUUCUUCGCUGAAACACCUGCAACCUGCGCAGUCUCUGACUUCCUCUUCCUAAUAUGCUCCAAAUCGAGCACCCUUUCCCGCGUCUGGCAAUCAAGGACUCCAGGGUCGGGCAGGCUAAAUAACUGACAUGCUCCCGGAUAUCAUCCCUCAACAUAUCAUGGUAGCGGGUCUUCCGCAUCUCCUCAUCCCCCGAAUACUGGGGUACCAAUAACGCCCUCUCCCGGAACUUAGCGGUGAUCUCCGCCACAGUCUCUGUAGUCUGUCUCAUAUCCAAAAACUCUCUGGCUAGCUGCUGAAGCUCCACAGCUGGCGUAAACUCAGCCCUGAAUCGGGCCAUGAAAUCUGACCAAAUCAUAGCCUUGACGGCUGGAGCCCCCAACGAGUCACCAACCGACUCCCACCAAUCUAUGGCUCUAUCCCUCAGACAUCCCAUAGCAAAGUGGACCUUUGAACCUUCCGGGAAGAAGCUCAUCAACUACACAGACUCAAUGUCUGCGAUCCAUCUCCUGGCAGCAAUGGGGUCCGUCACCCCAUGAAAAUCCUUCGUACCACUCCCUCGGAAGUCCUUGAAGGAUAGUAUGCGCGUACCCGUCUGGCUUGACGCCAGAUCACUCCUGAAUGCUCAGAGGCGAUCCUCCAUUAGCUCAACAAUCCCUUCCUUGAUCGACCCAAAAAUAACCGGGGUCGAGUCAAGGAUACCUCUCGUGAUCUCCGACGUGAUGAACUCGUGUAGCCUAUCAUCAACCUGCCCAGAUCCUACGCUCGAGCCUGAUCCUGAUCCUGACCCUGAACCUAAUCCUCCUGCACCAUGUCGUGUGAUCGACAUACUGAAAAUAAACACAUAAACGUUAGGAUCAUUCAUGCUCUCGAAAGGUCUCACACACUCUCCAAGAUUCCUGGUUCCAUCUCGGCCCUGCUUGACUCGACUACGGAUCCUCUGCUUCCAGUAGUAUGGGCCCAUACUACCUUCCACAUUUAUCCGUACUUUCCUCAAAGGUUGAUUAGACUUCGCCAAGUCCCUCUACUGAUACCCUUUCUACUAAUCUCCUCUUAGGCUUUCCUAGAGUACUCUCCGGCCUAAUCUUUGCCAUCAACUGCACUAGGAGUCCCUACUUCCCUUCCCUAAAUAGCUUGCGAAUACUGUUACAUAUCCGCUCACUAGUUAGUUAAAGUUAGCCAGGACCCCUUAAGCACAAAGUAAGCAACAUUCGUGCAUCGAGUAACCACAUCAGGCAUAACCUAAUCAGGCUAUCCUACUGCUGACUAAAUAGUCCUAGCUUACAGCUAUUACAACAGGAAUUCAAGGCAUCCUCUAGAUCCUUAGCCCUACUCUAGCAUGCAGUUCUCAGAAUCAUGAAUCAUACACAUAACAUAACAAGUAUGGGUAUCUUGUGGAAAACUUACUUGAGCUCGGCCGGUCGCACGCAUCACACACUUUGUCUUUUCUCAAAAUUCCUUAACUUAAAAGUUUAGAACCUUUUUCCUUGAAAAAUCUUUUAGUCCCAGGGUUUGAGUCCAGACACCCCCAGGAUGUGUCCGAAUCCCUCAAACCAGGGCUCUGAUACCAACUUGUGACAUCCCAAAUUUCGAGACCAAAAAUUUCAUUUUUGAAUUAAUAUUUUAUGAAGCAUUUUACCAGAACAUUGUCAAUAAAACAACACAUUACAAAAUCAUAAUGUUGUGUCUCAGCCCAUAACAUCAAAAGUAAUGAAAAUCAGAGUUCAAUCCCAGAAACACAAUGCAGAAACCAUGUGUGUGUGAUGUGCUGCUACACCGCCGACUCCUUCCCCUUCGACGAAGAGGUACUUGAAACCAAACCAAAAACUGUAAGCACAAAGCUGAGUGAGUUCCCCCAUCAUACUGCAUACCAUAUAAUACCGUCGGUAUCUUUUAACCGGUAACUGCCAUCGGUAUCUUUCAGCCUGUAACUAUCAUCGGUAUCUUUCAACCGGUAACCGCUAUCGGUAUCUUGCAACCGGUAACUGCCACCGGUAUCUUUCAACCGGUAGCUGGGGACUAUUUCACCCCUACCACUAGCAUACAGUAGCAAGAUAUAAACAUACAGUCAGGCAUAUCGGGGUACUGACCUACCCCUUGGUCCUAACGACCUAUGCAAGGGAAAGACUAUUCCCUGUCACUACCACUGACACAGUUAUCAUAUUACGCAGGCAUAUCUCAUGACCAAAUCAGAUAACCAAACUAAAAUAAUUAUCACAAAGACAAUUAUCUACUAAAUACCCCUGUUGGUGUGUGACAACCCAAAUAUUUCAUAUAUAUAAUUUCUACAAUCAAACACUUCAUUUGGAAGUCAAAUUCAUUUCCGCCAUUAAAAUUUGUUUUAGUAUUCUGAGCUUUUCACACUUAACGAUCAAGACUUAGAAAGUAACCACUAAAGCCCUAACACCAAAAAUCAUGCCAUAAACCUCAUAAGAUGGAGUUUUCGGGCGGUAAACUUGGGUGGUAAACUCCAGGCGGUAAACUUCGGGGCAGUAAAC